GAUAAAGCCGUCUAAUGAUGAGUUUCAUAGGGCAGUUUCCAAGAUGAAAAUUUAAUUCAUCAUUGAUCAUCCUAUUAUUAAAAAUAAUAAUAAUAA
ensembl:snoRNA